rnacentral:rRNA from 1 species
AGAGUUUGAUCAUGGCUCAGGAUGAACGCUAGCGACAGGCUUAACACAUGCAAGUCGAGGGGCAGCGAGGGAGUGGCAACGCUUCUGUCGGCGACCGGCGCACGGGUGAGUAACGCGUAUGCAACCUGCCCUUCACAGGGGGAUAACCGGGAGAAAUUCCGACUAAUACCGCAUACGUCCUCCGGGGGCAUCCCCGGGGGAUGAAAGAAUUAUCGGUGAAGGAUGGGCAUGCGUGAUAUUAGGUAGUUGGCGGGGCAACGGCCACCAAGCCCACGAUAUCUAGGGGUUCUGAGAGGAAGGUCCCCCANAUUGGUACUGAGACACGGAUCAAACUCCUACGGGAGCA